rnacentral:rRNA from 1 species
AGGUGCUUGCACCUUUCAAGUGAGUGGCGAACGGGUGAGUAACACGUGGACAACCUGCCUCAAGGCUGGGGAUAACAUUUGGAAACAGAUGCUAAUACCGAAUAAAACUUAGUGUCGCAUGACAAAAAGUUAAAAGGCGCUUCGGCGUCACCUAGAGAUGGAUCCGCGGUGCAUUAGUUAGUUGGUGGGGUAAAGGCCUACCAAGACAAUGAUGCAUAGCCGAGUUGAGAGACUGAUCGGCCACAUUGGGACUGAGACACGGCCCAAACUCCUACGGGAGGCUGCAGUAGGGAAUCUUCCACAAUGGGCGAAAGCCUGAUGGAGCAACGCCGCGUGUGUGAUGAAGGCUUUCGGGUCGUAAAGCACUGUUGUAUGGGAAGAACAGCUAGAAUAGGAAAUGAUUUUAGUUUGACGGUACCAUACCAGAAAGGGACGGCUAAAUACGUGCCAGCAGCCGCGGUAAUACGUAUGUCCCGAGCGUUAUCCGGAUUUAUUGGGCGUAAAGCGAGCGCAGACGGUUUAUUAAGUCUGAUGUGAAAGCCCGGAGCUCAACUCCGGAAUGGCAUUGGAAACUGGUUAACUUGAGUGCAGUAGAGGUAAGUGGAACUCCAUGUGUAGCGGUGGAAUGCGUAGAUAUAUGGAAGAACACCAGUGGCGAAG